UAGGGAAUCUUCGGCAAUGGACGAAAGUCUGACCGAGCAACGCCGCGUGAGUGAAGAAGGUUUUCGGAUCGUAAAGCUCUGUUGUAAGAGAAGAACGUGUGUGAGAGUGGAAAGUUCACACAGUGACGGUAACUUACCAGAAAGGGACGGCUAACUACGUGCUAG
rnacentral:rRNA from 1 species